CCCUCGCAGGGAUGCUGACAGCGUCAUCAUCAUGCAAAACCACUUCUGCUGUUUAAAAAGCCUUCAGUGGCGACGACAGCUCAGAAGUCAGCAAGUCACUGGUCUCUUACAGUGAAUGGGUCAUGGGAUACUGGGAACUGGUCGUGGUCCUGCUACUGUUGGAUGUUAGAGUUCAGGGCCAGAAUGCAGAAGAAGUACUUCAACUGUGCCAAAGCAAGGAGGUCCCGUUCCCCCUGGAUGGAAGUGCCUCAGAUCCCGUUGUUGUAGAAGGAUGUAUUGGCACAAGGCUAUCCUUAGUAGACCUUCCAGCAGACUCCGUCUGCUCCCUUGACAAUGGAGUGGUCGAAGUAGUGACUCUGGACAGGAGUCCUCCCAAGGUGCUGCUCCACCUGACGGGGAAUACCGCUGGGAUCUGCACAGUGAAGUGCACAUGGGGCAACGGGUCCCACGCCGCGCUGACCCUCAAUCUUACCAUCCUGAAACGUCCCUCGCCGCCCAGCUUUGAUUUCAUUAAAAAAGGUGAUUAUCGUUCGCCUGAGAUCAAGUGUGUCUCGGAUAGCAACCCCAAAGCGACCGUCAUGUGGUACACCAGCCUCCAAGCAUCCGGGAAAGAAUACUCUGAGAAUCCGAUCAAAACUUCAGAAGACGCAUUUGUCAAUAAGAAGUUAAUGUGCUGUGCUGCCAACGCCAUAGGGACAGAAUGCACUCAGCUAUACGACUAUGACAUGGACUCCGAAAGCCCGGUAGGUGUGGAGCAGCAGGAGGUGAAGGAGGUGGUGCUCAGCCCAGGCCAGUCCCUGCUGCUGCGCUGCACGUCCAAGAACAAAGCCCCGAAGUGGUUCAGCAAGGGCAGAGGACCGGAGAUCACCACCCAGUUGGAUGAACAUGGGGGAUUUCAGAUGGCCUACCUAUACUUCAGGUCAUUGACGCUAGAACAAACCGGCACAUACACUUGUCGCCCAAAAAAUAAGACCAUCUCCGUCCAAGUCCUGGCCGAAAGACUUCCAUCAGUCAGUCUGGCUCCAACCAAUAAGACCAUUUCGGCCAAAGAGGCCAUGAACUUCUGCUUGCAAGCCACCAUCUCCUCCCACCCUUUGCCUGACUACUGUGCGUGGGAAAGCCCGGACGGGAGAUGGAGGGACUGUGGAGGUCCCUCCUGGAGGAACAGGACCAGGCAGCUGUGUGACCACAUGAGAUCUGGGGAAUAUAAGUUACACCUGGAGGUGGACCGUCGGAGAUACCCCCACAAGAUGAAAUUGUGUGUGGCAGAUAAACCUCAGUUCAACUGCCAGUGGCUUCCUAACAUUUUGUGGUGUGAGACAGUGAGUCCUGUACCUACAAAUGUCUCUUGGAGGUCAUGCCAGGAGCCCAACGAUUCCAACUGUACGAUUUUCCAACAGGAGAAGGUGGAGGAGGUGCUGUUCUGUGAGACCAGGAUCAACCGCUCCCUGAUGAUCGAUAAGGUGCCUCCCAAUCACUUUGCUCAAUUCUGCCUCACCAAUGCAUUUGGAUCCUGGUGCAGUGAUGCAAAGUACAGAACUCUGCCGAGUCCAAUAGCGGAGCUCAUCGGUCACGAGAACCCAGGGUCUGAGCUCAAAAUAGGCAUUCUGGUCCUGUUGGUCGCCUUGAUAUUGAUUGGCAUGCUGUUCCUUUACAAUAUCAGAAAAAAGCCGCGGUAUGAGAGCCAACUACAGAUGAUCCAGAUAAUGGGGCCCAAUGAUAAUGAUUAUAUUUACAUCAACUUCAAGGACUUCCAGUACGACCAGAAAUGGGAGUUUCCAAGGGAGAACCUGCAACUGGGUAAAGAGCUGGGAUCCGGGGCCUUCGGCAUGGUGGUCCAGGCCACGGCAGUGGGCUUCGGCCCUCAGGGCAACUCUCAGGUGGCUGUCAAGAUGCUCAAAGAGAAACACCAGACGGUGGAGAAAGAGGCGCUGAUGUCUGAGCUGAAGAUGAUGACUCAGAUAGGUAACCAUGACAACAUAGUCAACCUGCUCGGGGCAUGCACAGGCACAGGGCCUGUGUAUCUGAUCUUUCAGUUCUGCUGGUAUGGAGAUCUGCUGAACUAUCUGAAGAACAACAGAGAGUGCUACCAUAAGUCUCUCACUGACGCCUUCAACAAGGACCGCUUCACCAGCCUCUACCACAACCUGCAGUCCAAUGGGGACUCCAGCGAAUUCCAGAUACCAGUGGAAAACUACGUGCAUAUGCACCCUACCACCACUGGGGGGCAGGAGAACCUCGCCCUCCUCAACCUCACAGAUGACGGCAUGGAUAAGGGGUCGGGGCAGCAGGCGGAGGAGCUGGAGGGGCUGACCUACAAUGACCUGCUGAGCUUCGCCCACCAGGUGGCCAUGGGCAUGGAGUUCCUGUCCGCCAAGAACUGCAUCCAUCGCGACCUGGCGGCCCGCAACGUCCUGGUGACCAAAGACCGGCUGGUGAAGAUCGGGGAUUUCGGCCUCGCCCGGGACAUCGACCACGACUCCAACUACGUGGUGCGAGGAAACGUGCGUCUGCCAGUGAAGUGGAUGGCUCCAGAGAGCAUUUUCCAGGGCAUGUACACCAUGAAGAGUGACGUCUGGGCCUACGGUAUCCUCCUGUGGGAGAUCUUUUCACUGGGGGUCACCCCGUAUCCUGGGGUGAAGGUGGACAACAAGUUCUACUCCAUGAUUGAGAGAGGCUUCCAGAUGGAGUGUCCGUACUACGCCGGGGUCUCUGUGUACAGGGUGAUGUGUAAGUGCUGGAGCCUGGAGCCCAGUGUCCGCCCUGCGUUCUCCAAGCUGGCGGCCUUCAUGGAGGCCCAGCUCACCAACAUGGAGGAGAAGGUAGUCUUGUAAUCACAGCACUCGGCCCUAUUGGGUUGUGGUUACAGUGACUCCCAGCCCAAAGCUGUAUCAUAAUACUGCAGAGGAAGGUUCCAGUGACUACAUGAAUGCGUCAGCCAUCUUUGAUAGUUCCUCCCCACUGAUGAAAGAGAAGGCAGCUCCGGGGCCGUCUUCACAAAACGACUACUGUCAGACCGCAGAGUAGAACCCAUGAGAGGGCUCCAGCACAAAGAAUUCAUAUGUCAUUAUGUGUCUUUAGUUUGUUAGAAGUCUCUUCCAGGAAGUAUCAGUUAGUCUUCUGAACUUAAAUUGCCUAAUGGUAAAGUUGAAUGUUUUUUUUUGCCAUGAUUAAAGUAUGGUUGUGCAUUAUUUGUGGUUGCCAUCGUGAUAACAUUGAUUUAUAUUGUAUUGUCCCUAUCAGAUACUUCCCGGCUUUCUGCAGCUAUAGGAAGUCCAACCGCUAAUUCUAGAUUUUUUUUAUUUUGUUCUGCUGGGUCUCUGUCAUAUAGCUCCCACACUUUGCUUUUUCUCUGAAAUGUGAUUUGAUAGCUGCACAUUAUGGAAGAUAUUUCUCAAAGCAAACAAUUCCGUAACUUCCAAUAUUUGUAUUCCAUUUAACCUGUGUUUUUUUUACUGAAAUAAAGGUUGUUUGUUCGAAUA